rnacentral:rRNA from 1 species
AGAGUUUGAUCAUGGCUCAGGACGAACGCUGGCGGCGUGCCUAACACAUGCAAGUCGAACGGUCCUUUAAUUUAAAGCAAUUUAGGUUAAAGGAUAGUGGCGGACGGGUGAGUAACGCGUGGGUAACCUGCCCAACAGACCGGGACAACACUUGGAAACGAGUGCUAAUACCGGAUACCCUAUGACCCUGGCAUCAGGGAGAUAGGAAAGGUGGCCUCUAAAUGUAUGCUACCGUUGUUGGAUGGACCCGCGUCUGAUUAGCUUGUUGGUAGGGUAACGGCCUACCAAGGCGACGAUCAGUAGCCGGCCUGAGAGGGUGAACGGCCACACUGGGACUGAGACACGGCCCAGACUCCUACGGGAGGCAGCAGUGGGGAAUCUUCCGCAAUGGACGAAAGUCUGACGGAGCAACGCCGCGUGUAUGACGAAGGCCUUCGGGUUGUAAAAUACUGUCUUUGGGGACGAAUGUUAGCUAUGAAAAUAUUGUAGUUAAAUGACGGUACCCAAGAAGGAAGCCCCGGCUAACUACGUGCCAGCAGCCGCGGUAAUACGUAGGGGGCAAGCGUUGUCCGGAAUCAUUGGGCGUAAAGGGCGCGUAGGCGGAUAGUUAAGUCCGAUGUGAAAUACCAAGGCUCAACCUUGGGGCUGCAUCGGAAACUGGUUAUCUUGAGGACAGGAGAGGAAAGUGGAAUUCCUAGUGUAGCGGUGAAAUGCGUAGAUAUUAGGAGGAACACCAGUGGCGAAGGCGACUUUCUGGACUGUAACUGACGCUGAGGCGCGAAAGCGUGGGGAGCAAACAG